UGCAUCUGCAGCUCAUGAGGAUGAGAACCUCCGGGGGCAGGGAGGUUCGACUCGAGCGAAGCGAGAGAACGUUGCGCCAGCAACGGCCCGCAGGGCGAGCCA
rnacentral:sRNA from 1 species